AGUUCCUGCCUUUCAGGCAUCCUCUCCUAAAACUUCCAGGCCGCUCCUCACGGGGCGGCCUUUUUUUUUGACCGAA
rnacentral:sRNA from 1 species